CAGCCGCCACGGUAAUACGAAGGGGGCUAGCGUUGUUCGGAUUUACUGGGCGUAAAGGGCGCGUAGGCGGACUGAUAAGUCAGGGGUGAAAUCCCAAGGCUCAACCUUGGAACUGCCUUUGAUACUGUUUGUCUUGAGUUCGAGAGAGGUAAGUGGAACUGCGAGUGUAGAGGUGAAAUUCGUAGAUAUUCGCAAGAACACCAGUGGCGAAGGCGGCUUACUGGCUCGAUACUGACGCUGAGGCGCGAAAGCGUGGGGAGCAAACAGGAUUAGAUACCCCGAGUAGUCCCUGUCUCUUAUA
rnacentral:rRNA from 1 species